UACGUAGGGUGCAAGCGUUAAUCGGAAUUACUGGGCGUAAAGCGUGCGCAGGCGGUUUUUGUAAGUCAGAUGUGAAAAUCCCCCGGGCUUAACCUGGGAACUGCGUUUUGAAACUACAAGGCUAGAGUGUGGCAGAGGGGGGGUGGAAUUCCACGUGUAGCAGUGAAAUGCGUAGAGAUGUGGAGGAACAUCGAUGGCGAAGGCAGCCCCCCUGGGUUAACACUGACGCUCAGGCACGAAAGCGUGGGGAGCAAACAGG
rnacentral:rRNA from 1 species